rnacentral:rRNA from 1 species
AUUGAACGCUGGCGGAAUGCUUUACACAUGCAAGUCGAGCGGCAGCACGGACUUCGGUCUGGUGGCGAGUGGCGAACGGGUGAGUAAUACAUCGGAACGUGCCCAGUCGUGGGGGAUAACGUAGUGAAAAUUACGCUAAUACCGCAUACGAUCUAUGGAUGAAAGCGGGGGAUCGCAAGACCUCGCGCGAUUGGAGCGGCCGAUAUCAGAUUAGGUAGUUGGUGAGGUAAAGGCUCACCAAGCCAACGAUCUGUAGCUGGUCUGAGAGGACGACCAGCCACACUGGAGCUGAAACACGGUCCAGACACCUACGGGAGGCAGCAGUGGGAAAUUUUGGACAAUGGACGCAAGUCUGAUCCAGCCAUUCCGCGUGCAGGACGAAGGCCUUCGGGUUGUAAACUGCUUUUGUACAGAACGAAAAGGUUUCUAUUAAUACUAGGGGCUCAUGACGGUACUGUAAGAAUAAGCACCGGCUAACUACGUGCCAGCCGCCGCCGUAA